AUUGAACGCUGGCGGCAGGCCUAACACAUGCAAGUCGAGCGAGAGGCGGAAGGGGGAGUAAUAUAUGGGGAUCUGCCCGAUAGAGGGGUAUAACUACGGGAAACGGUCGCUAAUACCGCAUACUAUCCGAUGAACCCAGAUGGGAUUAGCUAGUAGGUGGGGUAACGGCUCACCUAGGCGACGAUCUCUAGCUGGUCUGCGAGGCUGAUCAGCCACACUGGGACUGAGACACGGCCCAGACUCCUACGUGAGGCAGCAGUGGUGAAUAUUGGACAAUGGGCGCAAGUCUGAUGCAGCCAUGCCGCGUGUAUGAAGAAGGUCUUAGGGUUGUAAAGUACUUUCAGCGGGGAGGCGUUACCCACAGAAGAAGCACCGGCUAACUCCGUGCCAGCAGCCGCGGUAAUUC
rnacentral:rRNA from 1 species